GCCCAAGUGGUGAUUGGUAAAACGCCUACCUUUAUGGUGAUAUUCUCACUCUUAAAGUAGGAAGAACGGGUUCGAUUCCCGUCUUGGGUC
rnacentral:tRNA from 1 species